AAUCUUGGACAAUGGGGGAAACCCUGAUCUAGCCAUGCCGCGUGUAUGAUGAAGGNCUNNGGGUUNUNAAGUACUUGUGGCAGNNNNNAACAGGCAUCCACUAAUCCGGGAUACUGUUGACGGUACCUGCAGAAUAAGCACCGUCUAACUCCGUGCCAGCAGCCGCGGUAAUACGUAGGGUGCAAGCGUUAAUCGGAAUUACUGGGCGUAAAGCGCACGUAGGCGGUAAGUUAAGUCAGAUGUGAAAGCCCUGGGCUCAACCUGGGAACUGCAUUUGAUACUGGCUUGCUAGAGUUUGGUAGAGGAAAGUGGAAUUCCGGGUGUAGCGGUGAAAUGCGUAGAUAUCCGGAGGAACACCAGUGGCGAAGGCGACUUUCUGGACCAAAACUGACGCUGAGGUGCGAAAGCGUGGGUAGCAAACAGG
rnacentral:rRNA from 1 species